CCUACGGGCGGCAGCAGUGAGGAAUAUUGGUCAAUGGGCGAGAGCCUGAACCAGCCAAGUCGCGUGAGGGAGUACUGCCCUAUGGGUUGUAAACCUCUUUUGUCGGGGAGCAAAAGCCGGACGUGUCCGGCUGUGAGAGUACCCGAAGAAAAAGCAUCGGCUAACUCCGUGCCAGCAGCCGCGGUAAUACGGAGGAUGCGAGCGUUAUCCGGAUUUAUUGGGUUUAAAGGGCGCGCAGGCGGAUUUUUAUGUCAGCGGUAAAAUCGUGGGGCUCAACCCCAUCCAGCCGUUGAAACUGGGGAUCUAGAGUGUGCGAGAGGUAUGCGGAAUGCGUGGUGUAGCGGUGAAAUGCAUAGAUAUCACGCAGAACCCCGAUUGCGAAGGCAGCAUACCGGUGCACAACUGACGCUCAGGCACGAAAGCGUGGGUAUCGAACAGGAUUAGAUACCCCAGUAGUC
rnacentral:rRNA from 1 species